rnacentral:tRNA from 1 species
ACUUUAAUAAUUUAAAUAAAAUAGUGGUCUUGUAAACCACCAAUAAGUUCCUACUUUUAAAGUG